UGCAAGUCGUACGCGUUGGCCCAACUGAUUUGAAGUGCUUGCACGGAUCUGACGUCGGUUUACCAACGAGUGGCGGACGGGUGAGUAACACGUAGGUAACCUGCCCAGAAGCGGGGGACAACACUUGGAAACAGGUGCUAAUACCGCAUAACAAUUCAAAUCGCAUGAUUUGAAUUUGAAAGAUGGUUUCGGCUAUCACUUCUGGAUGGACCUGCGGCGCAUUAGCUUGUUGGUGGGGUAACGGCCUACCAAGGCAGUGAUGCGUAGCCGAGUUGAGAGACUGAUCGGCCACAAUGGGACUGAGACACGGCCCAUACUCCUACGGGAGGCAGCAGUAGGGAAUCUUCCACAAUGGGCGCAAGCCUGAUGGAGCAACACCGCGUGAGUGAAGAAGGUUUUCGGAUCGUAAAGCUCUGUUGUUGAAGAAGAACGUGCAUGAGAGUAACUGUUCAUGCAGUGACGGUAUUCAACCAGAAAGUCACGGCUAACUACGUGCCAGCAGCCGCGGUAAUACGUAGGUGGCAAGCGUUAUCCGGAUUUAUUGGGCGUAAAGAGAGUGCAGGCGGUUUCUUAAGUCUGAUGUGAAAGCCUUCGGCUCAACCGAAGAAGUGCAUCGGAAACUGGGAAACUUGAGUACAGAAGAGGGCAGUGGAACUCCAUGUGUAGCGGUGGAAUGCGUAGAUAUAUGGAAGAACACCAGUGGCGAAGGCGGCUGCCUGGUCUGUAACUGACGCUGAGACUCGAAAGCAUGGGUAGCGAACAGGAUUAGAUACCCUGGUAGUCCAUGCCGUAAACGAUGAGUGCUAGGUGUUGGUGGGUUUCCGCCCUUCAGUGCCGGAGCUAACGCAUUAAGCACUCCGCCUGGGGAGUACGACCGCAAGGUUGAAACUCAAAGGAAUUGACGGGGGCCCGCACAAGCGGUGGAGCAUGUGGUUUAAUUCGAAGCUACGCGAAGAACCUUACCAGGUCUUGACAUCUUGCGCCAACCCUAGAGAUAGGGCGUUUCCUUCGGGAACGCAAUGACAGGUGGUGCAUGGUCGUCGUCAGCUCGUGUCGUGAGAUGUUGGGUUAAGUCCCGCGACGAGCGCAACCCUUGUUACUAGUUGCCAGCAUUAAGUUGGGCACUCUAGUGAGACUGCCGGUGACAAACCGGAGGAAGGUGGGGACGACGUCAGAUCAUCAUGCCCCUUAUGACCUGGGCUACACACGUGCUACAAUGGACGGUACAACGAGCAGCGAACUCGCGAGGGCAAGCAAAUCUCUUAAAACCGUUCUCAGUUCGGAUUGCAGGCUGCAACUCGCCUGCAUGAAGUCGGAAUCGCUAGUAAUCGCGAAUCAGCAUGUCGCGGUGAAUACGUUCCCGGGCCUUGUACACACCGCCCGUCACACCAUGAGAGUUUGUAACACCCAAAGCCGGUGGGGUAACCUUUGGAGCC
rnacentral:rRNA from 1 species